rnacentral:rRNA from 1 species
GAAUUCGAUUAACGCGAAGAACCUUACCUGGGCUUGAACGGCAACUGACAUUCUACGAAAGUAGGCUCCCGCAAGGGCAGUUGUCGAGGUGCUGCAUGGCUGUCGUCAGCUCGUGUCGUGAGAUGUUGGGUUAAGUCCCGCAACGAGCGCAACCCUUGUCCUGUGUUGCAAACCCCUUAAAAGGUGCACUCUCAGGAGACCGCCAGCGAUAAGUUGGAGGAAGGUGGGGAUGACGUCAAGUCAUCAUGGCCUUUAUGUCCAGGGCUACACACGUGCUACAAUGGUCGGUACAAAGCGCUGCAAACCCGCGAGGGGAAGCUAAUCGCAAAAAACCGAUCUCAGUUCGGAUUGCAGGCUGCAACCCGCCUGCAUGAAGCUGGAAUCGCUAGUAAUGGCGUAUCAGAACGACGCCGUGAAUACGUUCCCGGGCCUUGUCACACCGAAUCACUA